rnacentral:lncRNA from 1 species
GAUGUCCUGGCUAUGCAGAGUAAUUAACAUCUGUUUCUGUAUUUGAACAUUCAGGCAGCGUGCCCCGCCAGACACCGCUGCGCUCACAUCCGGCCCCUCGGGAGCUCCUGCCCUGUUGCUAAUUGUCAAGAGCUGUCCAGAGUCCUUGUCCAUGCGAUCCUGCCGUGCUCCCUCCUGCCCUGCUCCGUCCUGCCGUGCUCCCGGGGUGCUGUUCCUGCUCUGAUGCCAGCUCACAGCACAGUGCUGAGGCCACUGUCAGAGAGAGUGAGGCCAAUGCUGGGCACAGAACUAUAAAGUCACAGCCAAAGGCUCUGAAAGCACAAGUGAAGAAUCUGAGCUGACCCAGAAGCAGUGGGUCCCAUCGUGUCUCCAGACAGGACCAAGCUCCCAGGCUCUGCCUGGGAAGCACAGAGCCUUCUGCCAGCUGGAGUUCAAGUGGAUGCUGACGGAGUGAUGUGAGGUUGGUUGUGUUUGCUGGGGUGAUGCUGAUCAGCCCAGAGUCUCAGCAGCCAUUUAUUCUUACGUGCCUUUCUUCCCUCUCUGUCCUCCAGCUGCUCCUGCCAGGCUUGGUGUGCUCCCAGUGCUCCUGCAGGCACCUCCUAGCAUGGUCCCCCUGCCAGGCUGCUCCGCGGGUGCCAGCAGUGCCCGCCCGGCUCCAGGGACUCCAGGCUGACCCCACACCCCUGGCACUGGACCCACUGAGCAGGAACCGUGUGGGAACCGACCUCCCUUCCUCCGGUGUGUUGGGAUCUUUACAGCAGCCCAUGCCGCAGCGCCUCGCCCAUCCCACCCGAGCUGCUCAUGCCACUGGCCUGGACCUAACCUAGGCUCAGUCUCAGCGUGGGCUGGGCAGGGGGCACCAUGGGGAGCUCUGCCUCAUCGCUGGCCGCGGAGACGGAGUCGGACCAUGGCUUCGGUAGCGCGCCCUACCCGGGGCACCCGGCCGUGGGCUGGUAUAGGAGCAGCCACGGCGGCCCCGUGUGGGAAAGUGCCCUUAUAACGCGGCAGCAGCAGCACCUCCAGCACCGGGUGCGAAGGUAAGGAGGAGGGGAAGGACCUGCUCGC